rnacentral:lncRNA from 1 species
AAUCAGGCUCUCACAGGCUAAAGUCAAGUAACCAGGAUCUAAUAAUCCAAUUCACGUGCCCUCGACACAAUCUGAUGCAAAAAAAAAAGAAUCUGGGUCCACCGUCAGCCCCGACGGCACUCGACAGUUCAAAACAACCUAAACAAUACUGUAAAAAUAAGCUCAGCAUCUCAACACGAGCGUAAUUGCAUUCUAAACUACCCUAGGUAUCUACCACUCUGAAACUGC